rnacentral:rRNA from 1 species
UACGGAGGAGGCAAGCGUUAUCCGGAAUUAUUGGGCGUAAAGCGUCCGCAGGUGGCUAUUCAAGUCUGCGGUCAAAGACUGGGGCUUAACCCUGGAAAGGCCGUGGAAACUGAAGAGCUAGAGUGCAGUAGGGGUAGAGGGAAUUCCCGGUGUAGCGGUGAAAUGCGUAGAGCUCGGGAAGAACAUCGGUGGCGAAAGCGCUCUGCUGGACUGCAACUGACACUCAGGGACGAAGGCCAGGGGAGCAAACGGG